CAGAAUGAAGUGAGCUCAGUGUGCUUCCACAAGCUGAGGUUUUGGAGACUGAAUUGGCCCCAAUGAAAAUAAUCAUAAAAUCAUAAAGAUUGGAAGAGACUGCGUCCGUUAACCAUGUCAUUCAGUGCCACAUUUCUACAGUUCUUAACCCUCCAGAGACAGUGACUCCACCGCCUCUCUGGGCAGCCUGUCCCAAAGCAUCACCACUCUUUCUGAGAAGAAAUUUUUCCUAAUACCCCAUCUGAACCCUUCCCCCCGAGUAUAACUGAAGGCCAUCACCUCUUGUCCUGUCACUGCUACCUAGAUGACGUAAUUUCCUACACUGCAGAAGUCCACUGUGCCUGAAUUAAUCUUUAACUUAACUAAAUUAGCCAUUAACCUUUGACUUGCGCAGAUUAGACUUUUCCAGAGCUGACUAAUACCCAGGAUAUGUUAGAAGAAGCACAAGUUUAAAACCACAGAAUAUUGAGGAAUACCUAAGAUCAAAAGAUUUGUUAAAAUAUUAAACUGCCCAAAGCCUUGAGGAAAAAGGGGCAAUAUACUGCAACAAAGUGAUGAAAUGAUGGAUACCAUUACCUGAAAGAUGAAAGACUGAGCGUGUGAGUUUUGGCACAGCCUUUCACAACAAAGAUUAAGCUCCACAGAUAACGAAACUUGAAAAGAUUUCUACAAGUUAAGUUGAUGAACUGGGAAUUGCCUUGGUUUUGUUACUUCAUACAAGACAGAACUUCAAGCAGGCAAGCUGUAUCAACAGCCAGAAAUAAGCUGGAGGAACAAGAACACCCCACUGAGAAGCGCUGAACUUCAACAGCUUCUGUGUUUGCUACAGUCAAUUUGAUUGUAACUAGAACAAGUCACAGUGGGACAACUUCUUCCACAUCACAGACUGCAAACACAGCAGCUGGCAGCACCGUUAUAUUUAGGCAGUAUGAAUGAUUAAGCAGUUAAAAGCAGUGAUCAUACAAGUUUGUGUCUAUCACCAUUAUAUUUCACAUUCUUUCCCGCCUUGAGGGCUUUCUCAUUAGAAAUUCCAGCUUCACAGCUGUUGAUCUUAAUUCAGAAAACAGCAUUAAAAUGCAUUUUUUUUUUAACCUCUUUCUGCUCUUCAUAGUUCUCUAUUGGUUUAAAAUGAAAAAAAAUAAUGAAAACCAACUGCCAAGGUAACUAUCACAUACAGAAAACUUUCCGAUUUCAUGCAUGUGACAGCAGGUCAGCCCAAACAAGAGGACUUGUUAAGGAGCUGUAAAUUCAUCCAAAGAGGCAGUGCUGACCACAAGGACAUUGUCACAUAUCUCCAAAGUGCAAUUAAUUCACUCAACUGUACACGUUAAAAGAAUUCUGGGUUUUGUUGCCAGAACAGGUAAUCCCAGCUUAAUAAAACAUCCGCACUGUAACACCAGGACAUACCCACAUCACCUACAGUUAAAAAGCAAAUUAAAAAGCAUGCUAACAUUCCUUUAAAAUACAAACAUAAAUCCAUAAAACCAGCUGAAAUAGCUUCUGCCACCUUUGGUUUUAAGUGACUUCCAUCACUGGAGUCUUUCCCAGCACAUUGGGGUAUUGCCUGGGGCUCUUUGAUUCUGAGAAGUGAAUUUGAUGAAUUUAUUUACACUUCCAUGCACACAAAUACAUUUGUUAUUCUUCAUAGCUGAGUCAAAUUAAUUUUCAGAGCGAACUUUCCUGACUGUCAUAGGAAAAAAAAAAAAUAAAACCACACCACAAACAACAAUCCUCUUAUGAGGAACUGCAUUUUUUCCAAAUUUCUGCAGAAGCAUUUAAUUCAGCCAAAGCCAGGGCAGGCUGGCACAGCAGAGAGCCUCUCUGCAGGGCACAUGCAGAUCACGCUGGCCACUGUCCAUAAUGCUUUCUAAAGAAGCCACAAGAAAAGACCACAAUGGGAUACAGAGCCCAGUGUCCAGAGCCAAAGGUUUUGUAGCACAAGGGCCAUUGCUCUGCACUGACACAGAGUUUUGUUGUUGCUGUCAAUGAACUCUUUAUCCCCUCUAUUUGCCGUCUUCAUUGGUUUUUAGCUUAUUUGCCAACUUACUAUUCGGGAAACAAGUCAAUGCAACUAAAAUAAACAGCCCUCCAGCCCAACAAUCCCAUGUUGCUUUUCCACCUUCGGCUCAAUGUUUUGCUCUUUAACUUCAGGGAAGCUGCUUUCUUUCUCAUCACCUUCAGGGAAAAG